UAUCAGUUUAUCGAAUCAUAUUAUCGGUCAAUGAGAUGUUGCGACUUCACAAAGUGUACCAUCGUUUAUCUCUCCUCCAUUUCUCGCCAUUAUCGCUCCCUUCUUCUCUUCCUUCCUCUCUCUCCCCUCCACUCCCUCGCCUCUCCCUCCGCCACACUCACAGAUUCUCUCUCCCUUCCAUGGUCACUUCCCGCCCCCGCAAUUUAGCGCCUAUCACUGCUCUUCCUGCUGAAGACAGUGCCGCUGCUGCCUCUAACGGCACCGUUUCUUCCUCUGCUGCAAUCACUACUUUCGCUGAUUACGAAGAUGACUCAAGCUUAGGAGCGGGGUAUCGUGUUCCUCCACCUGAGAUCAAGGACAUUGUCGAUGCACCACCAGUUCCUUCAUUGUCAUUUUCUCCACUUAGAGAUAAAAUUCUUUUUCUGAAGCGAAGAGCCUUACCUCCACUCUCAGAAUUAGCAAGACCGGAGGAGAAGUUGGCUGGUGUACGUAUUGAUGGAAAAAGUAAUUGUAGGAGUCGUAUGUCUUUUUACACUGGUAUAGGGAUCCAUCGGAUUCUUCCGGAUGAUACACUAGGCCCAGAGACUGAAGUUCAUGGUUUACCUGAGGGUGCAAAGAUAAAUUUUGUUACUUGGUCUCCAGAUGGCCGUCAUUUAUCUUUUAGCAUUCGUGUGAAUCAAGAGGACGGUGAUAGCAGUAAAUUUACAGUAUGGAUUGCAGAUGUGGAAACAGGGAUGGCUAGGCCUUUGUUUCAGUCACCUGAUAUACACUUGAAUGCAGUAUUUGAAAAUUAUGUUUGGGUAGAUAACUUUUCAUUGUUAGUUUGCACUAUUCCACUAUCUCGUGGGGCUUUGCCAAAAAAACCUUUGGUUCCCAGUGGCCCCAAAAUUCAAUCUAAUGAGGAGAAAAACAUUAUUCAAGUAAGAACAUUCCAGGAUUUGCUGAAGGAUGAAUAUGAUGAAGAUUUGUUUGACUACUAUGCCAGAUCACAGCUUGUUUUAGCUUCUUUGGAUGGUGCAACAAAGGAAAUUGGUCCCCCCGCUGUUUAUACUUCUAUGGAUCCUUCCCCGGAUCACAAGUAUGUUUUGAUUAGUUCGAUUCACAGGCCAUACUCUUUUACUGUGCCUUGUGGAAGAUUUCCAAAGAAGGUAGAGUUAUGGAGAGCUGAUGGGAAGUUAGUGCGGGAGCUUUGUGACUUGCCCCUUGCAGAGGACAUUCCUAUUGCAUUCAAUAGUGUGCGAAGAGGGAAGCGUUCCAUUAAUUGGAGAUCUGACAAACCAUCUUCACUUUACUGGGUAGAAACUCAAGAUGGAGGCGAUGCAAAGGUGGAAGUUUCUCCUCGUGAUAUAAUUUAUACAGAGCCUGCUGAACCAUUAGACGGUGAACAACCAGCUAUUCUACACAAGCUUGAUCUCCGUUAUGGAGGGAUUUCUUGGUGUGAUGAUUCAUUGGCUUUGGUAUACGAGUCUUGGUAUAAAACACGGCGAAUAAGAACAUGGGUAAUAUCUCCUGGAGCUGAGGACGUGGCUCCACGAAUUCUCUUUGAUCGAUCAUCAGAAGACGUCUACUCUGAUCCUGGAUCUCCCAUGCUGCGGAGAACUCAGGCUGGGACAUAUGUUAUUGCCAGGAUAAAGAAGGAAAAUGAUGAAGGUAGAUAUAUUAUACUGAAUGGAAGUGGUGCUACACCAGAAGGGAACAUUCCAUUCCUUGAUCUAUUUGACAUAAAUAGCGGUAAAAAGGAACGGAUAUGGGAGAGUGAUAAGGAGAGAUACUAUGAAACUGUCGUUGCUUUGAUGUCUGAUCAAGAAGAAGGGGAUCUACAUUUAGAUCUACUGAAAAUUCUGAUUUCAAAAGAGUCAAAAACCGAAAACACCCAGUAUCACUUUGUCAGAUGGCCAGAUAAAAAAUUAGUUCAGAUUACAAGCUUCCCUCAUCCAUAUCCUCAACUUGAAUCAUUGCAGAAAGAGAUGAUCAGGUAUCAAAGGAAAGAUGGGGUUCAACUCACUGCUACCUUAUACCUGCCACCGGGUUACAAUCCAUCAACAGAUGGCCCUUUGCCAUGUCUGGUUUGGUCUUACCCUGGAGAAUUUAAGAGCAAAGAAGCUGCUGGGCAGGUUCGUGGUUCUCCAAAUGAAUUUCCUGGGAUAGGUCCCACAUCAGCCCUUCUUUGGUUGGCUAGAGGAUUUGCAAUUCUAUCAGGACCUACUAUUCCUAUUAUUGGUGAGGGCGAUGAGGAGGCAAAUGAUAGGUAUGUGGAACAAUUAGUUGCAAGUGCAGAAGCUGCUGUAGAGGAAGUUAUUCGGCGUGGGGUUGCUCAUCCAAAGAAAAUAGCUGUUGGUGGACAUUCCUACGGAGCAUUCAUGACUGCCAACCUCCUGGCACAUGCACCUCAUCUUUUCUGUUGUGGAAUUGCUCGCUCUGGUGCUUACAACAGAACACUUACUCCCUUUGGAUUUCAGAAUGAAGAUAGAACUCUUUGGGAGGCCACCAAUACUUAUGUAGAGAUGAGUCCUUUCAUGUCAGCUAAUAAAAUUAAGAAGCCGAUCUUGCUUAUACAUGGGGAAGAGGAUAAUAAUUCUGGAACAUUAACCAUGCAGUCAGACAGAUUCUUCACCGCUCUGAAGGGUCAUGGGGCUCUUUGUCGACUGGUGAUUCUGCCUUAUGAGAGCCAUGGUUAUACCGCCAGAGAGAGCAUAAUGCAUGUUCUAUGGGAAACAGACAGAUGGCUGUACAAAUACUGUGUAUCAAGCAGUUCUGAUGCAGGCUCAGAUUCAGUCAAAGAGAAAGAAAGUAUAGAAACUACAGAUGCUGAAAAGAAAGUUGUUGCUACCAGUGGAGGUGGCAGUAAAGAGGAGUCUGAUAUUGAGUAUGAUGAAGUUCAUUCUCUGCCAAGGUCAUCCUUGUGAACACUCUAGUCCAGGCUGUCCGUAUACUUGCUACCUACCUCGUAACCCUUAGCAUCCAAAGAAUUUAAGAAGAAUUCUCAGAACUUUGGCCCGCCAAGGAUCAAAAUAGAAGCACCCAAAAGAUGCACGUGGAAUAUAGAACAGUAACAUGCCUGGGGCUGGAGUGGAGGAUACGAUGAAAUUGACAAGGAUCAUCGUUAUUCGAGUGUGGGACACUACACCCACCAUGUCAUGUCCUUAACAACCUUCCACAGUAUUUCUGGUCGUGGCACUUGCCAAUUCAUAUCUAGAUGGAUUCACCGGGAUGUCUCAUAUAUUGCUUGUUUUCAGAAUGAUAAUUAGCUGCUUUGCCAAUUAAUUUUGCAUUUGGCAAGGCAAUUUGAAUGUAAGAGGAAUAAGCAUUGUACAAACCAAACCAUUUAAUUGAUCCAAUGCAGCUGAACCCUUCUUGCUGCCUUGGUUUUGGAGUUGUGAUUCUUUUCAUUGCA